rnacentral:tRNA from 1 species
UGGCUCAGUCAGUAGAGCACGUGACUCUCAAUCUUGGGGUUGUGAGUUUGAGCCUCAC